rnacentral:lncRNA from 1 species
CACCAUGUCCUAGUUAUUCCUACUGAGGGCUGGUUUCUCUCUGCUGAUAUACACCAUGUCCUAGUUAUUCCUACUGAGGGCUGUUCUGCUGUUAUACACCAUGUCCUAGUUAUUCCUACUGAGGGCUGUUCUCUCUGCUACUAUACACCAUGUCCUAGUUAUUCCUACUGAGGGCUUUCUCGCUACUAUACACAUGUCCUAGUUAUCCUACUGAGGGCUGUUCUGCUGUUAUACAUUAUGUCCUAGUUAUUCCUACUGAGGGCUGUUUUCUGCGAUUAUACACCAUGUCCUAGUUUAUUCCUACUGAGGGCUGUUCUGUCUGCUGUUAUACACCCAUGUCCUAGUUAUUCCUUAGGAGGGAUAGUCUGUCUGCUGUUAUACACCAUGUCCUAGUUAUUCCUACG